rnacentral:rRNA from 1 species
CCUACGGGAGGCAGCAGUGGGGAAUAUUGGGCAAUGGGCGAAAGCCUGACCCAGCAACGCCGCGUGAAGGAAGAAGGCUUUCGGGUUGUAAACUUCUUUUGACAGGGAAGAGCAGAAGACGGUACCUGUCGAAUAAGCCACGGCUAACUACGUGCCAGCAGCCGCGGUAAUACGUAGGUGGCAAGCGUUGUCCGGAUUUACUGGGUGUAAAGGGCGUGUAGCCGGGCUGACAAGUCAGAUGUGAAAUACGGGGGCUCAACCCCCGAACUGCAUUUGAAACUGUUGGUCUUGAGUAUCGGAGAGGCAGGCGGAAUUCCUAGUGUAGCGGUGAAAUGCGUAGAUAUUAGGAGGAACACCAGUGGCGAAGGCGGCCUGCUGGACGACAACUGACGGUGAGGCGCGAAAGCGUGGGGAGCAAACAGGAUUAGAUACCCGAGUAGUC